UGGGUAACCUGCCUCAAAGAGGGGAAUAGCCUCCCGAAAGGGAGAUUAAUACCGCAUAAUAUGUUUAAGUCGCAUGACUUUAACAUCAAAGGAUUCUCUUCGGAGAUUCCACUUUGAGAUGGACCCGCGGCGCAUUAGCUAGUUGGUGAGGUAACGGCUCACCAAGGCAACGAUGCGUAGCCGACCUGGGGAGGUGAUCGGCCACAUUGGAACUGAGACACGGUCCAGACCUGUAACCGGGA
rnacentral:rRNA from 1 species